rnacentral:rRNA from 1 species
GGGUUGUGAGGUUAAGCGACUAAGCGUACACGGUGGAUGCCCUGGCAGUCAGAGGCGAUGAAGGACGUGCUAAUCUGCGAUAAGCGCCGGUAAGGUGAUAUGAACCGUUAUAACCGGCGAUUUCCGAAUGGGGAAACCCAGUGUGAUUCGUCACACUAUCAUUAACUGAAUCCAUAGGUUAAUGAGGCGAACCGGGGGAACUGAAACAUCUAAGUACCCCGAGGAAAAGAAAUCAACCGAGAUUCCCCCAGUAGCGGCGAGCGAACGGGGAGGAGCCCAGAGCCUGAAUCAGCAUGUGUGUUAGUGGAAGCGUCUGGAAAGGCGCGCGAUACAGGGUGACAGCCCCGUACACAAAAGCGCAUGUGCUGUGAGCUCGAUGAGUAGGGCGGGACACGUGGUAUCCUGUCUGAAUAUGGGGGG